rnacentral:rRNA from 1 species
UACGGGGGGGGCGAAGCGUUGUUCGGAAUUACUGGGCGUAAAGGGCGCGUAGGCGGCCUGCUAAGUCGAACGUGAAAUCCCCGGGCUCAACCCGGGAACUGCGUCCGAUACUGGUUGGCUUGAAUUCGGGAGAGGGAUGCGGAAUUCCAGGUGUAGCGGUGAAAUGCGUAGAUAUCUGGAGGAACACCGGUGGCGAAGGCGGCAUCCUGGACCGGCAUUGACGCUGAGGCGCGAAAGCCAGGGGAGCAAACGGG